rnacentral:rRNA from 1 species
AUGUCAGGCUUCCAAGAAAAGCUCUAAACACCAUAAACAAUGUCAGCCUGUACCCGAAACCGACACAGGUAGGGAGGUAGAGUAUACCGAGGGGCGCGAGAUAACUCUCUCUAAGGAACUCGGCAAAAUGGCCCCGUAACUUCGGGAGAAGGGGUACCUACGCAAGUAGGUCACAGUGAAGAGUCCCAGGCGACUGUUUACCAAAAACACAGGUCUCCGCAAAAUCGUAAGGUGAUGUAUGGGGGCUGACGCCUGCCCAGUGCCGGAAGGUUAAGGAAGUUGGUUAGGGUAACCGAAGCUAGCGACUGAAGCCCCGGUGAACGGCGGCCGUAACUAUAACGGUCCUAAGGUAGCGAAAUUCCUUGUCGGGUAAGUUCC